rnacentral:rRNA from 1 species
UACGAAGGGGGCGAGCGUUGUUCGGAUUUACUGGGCGUAAAGGGCGCGCAGGCGGCCCUCCAAGUCAGGCGUGAAAGCCCCGGGCUCAACCCGGGAAUAGCGCUUGAGACUGGGGGGCUUGAGUUCGGGAGAGGAGAGUGGAAUUCCCAGUGUAGAGGUGAAAUUCGUAGAUAUUGGGAAGAACACCGGUGGCGAAGGCGGCUCUCUGGACCGACACUGACGCUGAGGCGCGAAAGCGUGGGGAGCAAACAGG